CAAUAGCGUAUAUUAAAGUUGUUGCAGUUAAAAAGCUCGUAGUUGGAUUUCUGGUCGGAGCGACCGGUCGGCGUCCUUUGUGGCGUGUGCACUGUUGUCGGCUCCGUCCAUCCUAGUGGGAAGGCGUGUUGGCAUUCAUUUGUCGGCGCGUGGCCCCGCUACGUUUACUGUGAAAAAAUUAGAGUGUUUAAAGCAGGCGUUCGCUGUGAAUACAUUAGCAUGGAAUAAUGAGAUAGGACUUUGGUACUAUUUUGUUGGUUUGCGCACCAAGGUAAUGAUUAAUAGGGAUAGUUGGGGGUAUUCAUAUUCAAUUGUCAGAGGUGAAAUUCUUGGAUUUAUGGAAGAUGAACUUAUGCGAAAGCAUUUACCAAGGAUGUUUUCAUUAA
rnacentral:rRNA from 1 species